UACGGGGCGCAGCAGUGGGGAAUUUUGGACAAUGGGGGAAACCCUGAUCCAGCCAUCCCGCGUGUGCAUUAGAGGCCUUCGGGUUGUAAAGCACUUUUGGCAGGAAAGAAACGGCGCAGGAUAAUACGUACAGCUGACGGUACCUGCAGAAUAAGCGCAGUAACUACGUGCCAGCAGCCCGCGGUAAUACGUAGGGUGCAAGCGUUAAUCGGAAUUACUGGGCGUAAAGCGUGCACCAGGCGGUUCCGGAAGAAGAUGUGAAAUCCCAGAGCUUAACUUUGGAACUGCAUUUUAACUACCGAGCUAGAGUGUGUCAGAGGGAGGUGGAAUUCACGCGUGUAGCAGUGGAAAUGCGUAGAUAUGCGGAGGAACACCGAUGGCGAAGGCAACCUCCUGGGGGAUACUUACACUGACGCUCAUGCACGAAAGCGUGGGGAGCAAACAGGAUUAGAUACCCGCGUAGU
rnacentral:misc_RNA from 1 species